rnacentral:rRNA from 1 species
GAAAGAUGAGCAUGCGUCCCAUUAGCUAGUUGGUAAGGUAACGGCUUACCAAGGCAACGAUGGGUAGGGGUCCUGAGAGGGAGAUCCCCCACACUGGUACUGAGACACGGACCAGACUCCUACGGGAGGCAGCAGUGAGGAAUAUUGGUCAAUGGACGCAAGUCUGAACCAGCCAUGCCGCGUGCAGGAUGACGGUCCUAUGGAUUGUAAACUGCUUUUGCACAGGAAGAAACACUCCGACGUGUCGGAGCUUGACGGUACUGUGAGAAUAAGGAUCGGCUAACUCCGUGCCAGCAGCCGCGGUAAUACGGAGGAUCCAAGCGUUAUCCGGAAUCAUUGGGGUUUAAAGGGUCCGUAGUCGAUCUUGUAAGUCAGUGGUGAAAGCUCCAUCGUUCAACGGUGGAACGGCCAUUGAUUCUGCAGGACUUGAAUUAUUGGGAAGUAACUAGAAUAUGUAGUGUAGCGGUGAAAUGCUUAGAGAUUACAUGGAAUACCAAUUGCGAAGGCAGGUUACUACCAAUGGAUUGACGCUGAUGGACGAAAGCGUGGGUAGCGAACAGGAUUAGAUACCCUGGUAGUCCACGCCGUAAACGAUGGAUACUAGCUGUUGGGAGCAAUCUCAGUGGCUAAGCGAAAGUGAUAAGUAUCCCACCUGGGGAGUACGAACGCAAGUUUGAAACUCAAAGGAAUUGACGGGGGCCCGCACAAGCGGUGGAGCAUGUGGUUUAAUUCGAUGAUACGCGAGGAACCUUACCAAGGCUUAAAUGCAGACUGACCGAUUUGGAAACAGAUCUUUCGCAAGACAGUUUACAAGGUGCUGCAUGGUUGUCGUCAGCUCGUGCCGUGAGGUGUCAGGUUAAGUCCUAUAACGAGCGCAACCCCUGUUGUUAGUUGCCAGCGAGUCAUGUCGGGAACUCUAACAAGACUGCCAGUGCAAACUGUGAGGAAGGUGGGGAUGACGUCAAAUCAUCACGGCCCUUACGCCUUGGGCUACACACGUGCUACAAUGGCCGGUACAGAGAGCAGCCACUGGGCGACCAGGAGCGAAUCUAUAAAGCCGGUCACAGUUCG